UGAGCAACCUGCCCUUGACUCUGGGAUAACCCCGGGAAACCGGAGCUAAUACCGGAUACGAACCGCACAGGCAUCUGAGCGGUUGGAAAGAACUUCGGUCAAGGAUGGGCUCGCGGCCUAUCAGCUUGUUGGUGAGGUAACGGCCCACCAAGGCGACGACGGGUAGCCGGCCUGAGAGGGCGACCGGCCACACUGGGACUGAGACACGGCCCAGACUCCUACGGGAGGCAG
rnacentral:rRNA from 1 species